rnacentral:rRNA from 1 species
UACGAAGGGGGCUAGCGUUGCUCGGAAUCACUGGGCGUAAAGGGUGCGUAGGCGGGUCUUUAAGUCAGGGGUGAAAUCCUGGAGCUCAACUCCAGAACUGCCUUUGAUACUGAGGAUCUUGAGUUCGGGAGAGGUGGGUGGAACUGCGAGUGUAGAGGUGAAAUUCGUAGAUAUUCGGAAGAACACCAGUGGCGAAGGCGACUCACUGGCCCGAUACUGACGCUGAGGCGCGAAAGCGUGGGGAGCAAACAGG